GUCGAGGGGCAGCGGAGAGGUAGCAAUACCUUUGCCGGCGACCGGCGCACGGGUGAGUAACACGUAUGCAAUCCACCUGUAACAGGGGGAUAACCCGGAGAAAUCCGGACUAAUACCCCAUAAUAUGGGUUCUCCGCAUGGAGGGUCCAUUAAAGAGAGCAAUUUUGGUUACAGACGAGCAUGCGCUCCAUUAGCCAGUUGGCGGGGUAACGGCCCACCAAAGCGACGAUGGAUAGGGGUUCUGAGAGGAAGGUCCCCCACAUUGGAACUGAGACACGGUCCAAACUCCUACGGGAGGCAGCAGUGAGGAAUAUUGGUCAAUGGUCGGCAGACUGAACCAGCCAAGUCGCGUGAGGGAAGACGGCCCUACGGGUUGUAAACCUCUUUUGUCGGAGAGUAAAGUACGCUACGUGUAGCGUAUUGCAAGUAUCCGAAGAAAAAGCAUCGGCUAACUCCGUGCCAGCAGCCGCGGUAAUACGGAGGAUGCAAGCGUUAUCCGGAUUUAUUGGGUUUAAAGGGUGCGUAGGCGGCACGCCAAGUCAGCGGUGAAAUUUCCGGGCUCAACCCGGACUGUGCCGUU
rnacentral:rRNA from 1 species